rnacentral:rRNA from 1 species
AAUACAUGCAAGUCGAACGAACACUUCGGUGUUAGUGGCGCACGGGUGCGUAACGCGUGGGAAUCUACCCUUGGGUUCGGAAUAACAGUUGGAAACGACUGCUAAUACCGGAUGAUGACGUAAGUCCAAAGAUUUAUCGCCCAAGGAUGAGCCCGCGUAGGAUUAGGUAGUUGGUGAGGUAAAGGCUCACCAAGCCUACGAUCCUUAGCUGGUCUGAGAGGAUGAUCAGCCACACUGGGACUGAGACACGGCCCAGACUCCUACGGGAGGCAGCAGUAGGGAAUAUUGGACAAUGGGGGCAACCCUGAUCCAGCAAUGCCGCGUGAGCGAUGAAGGCCUUAGGGUUGUAAAGCUCUUUUACCCGAGAUGAUAAUGACAGUAUCGGGAGAAUAAGCCCCG